AAGUCGUAACAAGGUUUCCGUAGGUGAACCUGCGGAAGGAUCAUUACCACGUUAUUCCAACGUCACUCACCACGCGAUAUGUUUUCACUAUCUCCCGUCAUCCUGCAUGUGUCGGCUACGCUAGUAACGGAGGGUCUGGGAUGGGUUCAGUCGGGUUCCGGCUGUCCGAACUCCGAGGCGGACAUUACGACAGUAGUAGGCGGCGGCUAGCUGCGGAUGAGUAGUUUGCUCUAUCUCAUGAACAAAAGUUCGCGGCACAUCUUUUUAAAUAAAACAAUUUUCACCCUUUUUGCUAGUUGACUUUAUCUGCUCGUCAUUCUCUCUUCAUUGAGAGGUGCGGCACGUUUAAUCUAAUUGAACGUUAAAAUCAAUACAACUCUUAGCAAUGGAUAUCUUGGUUCUC
rnacentral:misc_RNA from 1 species